AGUGAACGCUGGCGGUAGGCCUAACACAUGCAAGUCGAACGGCAGCACAGUAAGAGCUUGCUCUUACGGGUGGCGAGUGGCGGACGGGUGAGGAAUACAUCGGAAUCUACUUUUUCGUGGGGGUUAACGUAGGGAAACUUACGCUAAUACCGCAUACGACCUACGGGUGGAAGCAGGGGAUCUUCGGACCUUGCGCGAUUGAAUGAGCCGAUGUCGGAUUAGCUAGUUGGCGGGGUAAAGGCCCACCAAGGCGACGAUCCGUAGCUGGUCUGAGAGGAUGAUCAGCCACACUGGAACUGAGACACGGUCCAGACUCCUACGGGAGGCAGCAGUGGGGAAUAUUGGACAAUGGGCGCAAGCCUGAUCCAGCCAUACCGCGUGGGUGAAGAAGGCCUUCGGGUUGUAAAGCCCUUUUGUUGGGAAAGAAAAGCAGCAGGUUAAUACCCCGCUGUUCUGACGGUACCCAAAGAAUAAGCACCGGCUAACUUCGUG
rnacentral:rRNA from 1 species